AAUGAACGUUGGCGGCGUGGAUUAGGCAUGCAAGUCGUACGGGUCGGUGUAGCAAUACAACGGCAAGUGGCGAAAGGGAGAGUAACACGUAGAUACCUACCCUCUGGUUGGGGAUACCGCGGCAUAACCGCAAGUAAUACCCAAUAAAAUCUCCGGAUCAAAGGUGUGAUUCCGCCGGAGGAGGGGUCUGCGUUCUAUCAGCUAGUUGGUGAGGUAAUGGCUCACCAAGGCUAAGACGGAUACGGGGUGUGAGAGCAUGCCCCCGCUCACUGGGACUGAGACACUGCCCAGACACCUACGGGUGGCUGCAGUCGAGAAUCUUCGGCAAUGGGCGCAAGCCUGACCGAGCGACGCCGCGUGUGGGAUGAAGGCCUUCGGGUUGUAAACCACUGUCGAGGGGAAUGAAGUGCAGGUGGGUACUCCCAUCUGUUUGACAGAUCCCUGGAGGAAGCAUGGGCUAAGUUCGUGCCAGCCGCCGCGGUAACAC
rnacentral:rRNA from 1 species